UUGACUUUGGCGGCACACAUACUAAUAUUGGAUAGAUACAGAGAAGAUUAGCAUGGUCUCCUGCCAAAGGAUGACAUGCAAUACGUGAACCUGGGUACCAGAUAUUA